rnacentral:rRNA from 1 species
UUUUGUAUAAUGGGUCAGCGACUUAUAUUCUGUAGCAAGGUUAACCGAAUAGGGGAGCCGAAGGGAAACCGAGUCUUAACUGGGCGUUAAGUUGCAGGGUAUAGACCCGAAACCCGGUGAUCUAGCCAUGGGCAGGUUGAAGGUUGGGUAACACUAACUGGAGGACCGAACCGACUAAUGUUGAAAAAUUAGCGGAUGACUUGUGGCUGGGGGUGAAAGGCCAAUCAAACCGGGAGAUAGCUGGUUCUCCCCGAAAGCUAUUUAGGUAGCGCCUCGUGAACUCAUCUCCGGGGGUAGAGCACUGUUUCGGCAAGGGGGUCAUCCCGACUUACCAACCCGAUGCAAACUGCGAAUACCGGAGAAUGUUAUCACGGGAGACACACGGCGGGUGCUAACGUCCGUCGUGAAGAGGGAAACAACCCAGACCGCCAGCUAAGGUCCCAAAGUCAUGGUUAAGUGGGAAACGAUGUGGGAAGGCCCAGACAGCCAGGAUGUUGGCUUAGAAGCAGCCAUCAUUUAAAGAAAGCGUAAUAGCUCACUGGUCGAGUCGGCCUGCGCGGAAGAUGUAACGGGGCUAAACCAUGCACCGAAGCUGCGGCAGCGACGCUUAUGCGUUGUUGGGUAGGGGAGCGUUCUGUAAGCCUGCGAAGGUGUACUGUGAGGUAUGCUGGAGGUAUCAGAAGUGCGAAUGCUGACAUAAGUAACGAUAAAGCGGGUGAAAAGCCCGCUCGCCGGAAGACCAAGGGUUCCUGUCCAACGUUAAUCGGGGCAGGGUGAGUCGACCCCUAAGGCGAGGCCGAAAGGCGUAGUCGAUGGGAAACAGGUUAAUAUUCCUGUACUUGGUGUUACUGCGAAGGGGGGACGGAGAAGGCUAUGUUGGCCGGGCGACGGUUGUCCCGGUUUAAGCGUGUAGGCUGGUUUUCCAGGCAAAUCCGGAAAAUCAAGGCUGAGGCGUGAUGACGAGGCACUACGGUGCUGAAGCAACAAAUGCCCUGCUUCCAGGAAAAGCCUCUAAGCAUCAGGUAACAUCAAAUCGUACCCCAAACCGACACAGGUGGUCAGGUAGAGAAUACCAAGGCGCUUGAGAGAACUCGGGUGAAGGAACUAGGCAAAAUGGUGCCGUAACUUCGGGAGAAGGCACGCUGAUAUGUAGGUGAAGCGACUUGCUCGUGGAGCUGAAAUCAGUCGAAGAUACCAGCUGGCUGCAACUGUUUAUUAAAAACACAGCACUGUGCAAACACGAAAGUGGACGUAUACGGUGUGACGCCUGCCCGGUGCCGGAAGGUUAAUUGAUGGGGUUAGCGGUAACGCGAAGCUCUUGAUCGAAGCCCCGGUAAACGGCGGCCGUAACUAUAACGGUCCUAAGGUAGCGAAAUUCCUUGUCGGGUAAGUUCCGACCUGCACGAAUGGCGUAAUGAUGGCCAGGCUGUCUCCACCCGAGACUCAGUGAAAUUGAACUCGCUGUGAAGAUGCAGUGUACCCGCGGCAAGACGGAAAGACCCCGUGAACCUUUACUAUAGCUUGACACUGAACAUUGAGCCUUGAUGUGUAGGAUAGGUGGGAGGCUUUGAAGUGUGGACGCCAGUCUGCAUGGAGCCGACCUUGAAAUACCACCCUUUAAUGUUUGAUGUUCUAACGUUGGCCCCUGAUCGGGGUUGCGGACAGUGUCUGGUGGGUAGUUUGACUGGGGCGGUCUCCUCCUAAAGAGUAACGGAGGAGCACGAAGGUUGGCUAAUCCUGGUCGGACAUCAGGAGGUUAGUGCAAUGGCAUAAGCCAGCUUGACUGCGAGCGUGACGGCGCGAGCAGGUGCGAAAGCAGGUCAUAGUGAUCCGGUGGUUCUGAAUGGAAGGGCCAUCGCUCAACGGAUAAAAGGUACUCCGGGGAUAACAGGCUGAUACCGCCCAAGAGUUCAUAUCGACGGCGGUGUUUGGCACCUCGAUGUCGGCUCAUCACAUCCUGGGGCUGAAGUAGGUCCCAAGGGUAUGGCUGUUCGCCAUUUAAAGUGGUACGCGAGCUGGGUUUAGAACGUCGUGAGACAGUUCGGUCCCUAUCUGCCGUGGGCGCUGGAGAACUGAGGGGGGCUGCUCCUAGUACGAGAGGACCGGAGUGGACGCAUCACUGGUGUUCGGGUUGUCAUGCCAAUGGCACUGCCCGGUAGCUAAAUGCGGAAGAGAUAAGUGCUGAAAGCAUCUAAGCACGAAACUUGCCCCGAGAUGAGUUCUCCCUGACCCUUUAAGGGUCCUGAAGGAACGUUGAAGACGACGACGUUGAUAGGCCGGGUGUGUAAGCGCAGCGAUGCGUUGAGCUAACCGGUACUAAUGAACCGUGAG